rnacentral:lncRNA from 1 species
UGGUGCUUUCUUUUUUUUCAAUCGUUCGUAAUCUUCAUCAUAGAUGGUCGAAUCUCUCUUUUGAAUUGCAUCCCUUGCAGCCAUAGAUGGAGCCAUUUGAUGAAAAUACACUUGAUUGUUUACUUUGUGCGAAAUGUUGUUUAACGUCAACAGGAUGUAUAUUAGUAUAAUUAUGAAUAUGAUUGACACGAAAACUUCUAAACAACUUAAAAUGAAAUCCACAUGAUAUCGAUCAAUUAAUGUGAGUAUAAAAUCUGUUGCAGUUUUAUCUUCCAUGUUAUUACUAUCGGUAUCGUUUCCAUUAACG